rnacentral:antisense_RNA from 16 species
AAUAAUGGUGGGCUGGAUGGGGGAGCCGCAAGGCUCGCCGGGUCCUUCUUAGCCGGUAGUCUCAACCCUGUUCAGCUCGCCACCAAU